rnacentral:rRNA from 1 species
GAUGAACGCUGGCGGCGUGCUUAACACAUGCAAGUCGAACGGAGAGCUCAUGACAGAGGAUUCGUCCAAUGGAUUGAGUUUCUUAGUGGCGGACGGGUGAGUAACGCGUGAGGAACCUGCCUCGGAGUGGGGAGUAACAGUCCGAAACGGAACGUGCUAAUAACCGCCAUAAUAGCAGUUGUUGUCGCAUGACACUGACUGCCAAACGAAUUAUUCGCUCUGAGAUGGCCUCGCGUCUGAUUA